rnacentral:rRNA from 1 species
CAGCCGCCACGGGAACACGUAGGGUGCAAGCGUUAAUCGGAAUUACUGGGCGCAAAGCGUGCGCAGGCGGUUUGUUAAGACAGAUGUGAAAUCCCCGGGCUUAACCUGGGAACUGCAUUUGUGACUGGCGGGCUAGAGUAUGGCAGAGGGGGGUAGAAUUCCACGUGUAGCAGUGAAAUGCGUAGAGAUGUGGAGGAAUACCGAUGGCGAAGGCAGCCCCCUGGGCCAAUACUGACGCCCAUGCACGAAAGCGUGGGGAGCAAACAGGAUUAGAUACCCGGGUAGUCCCUGUCUCUUAUAC